rnacentral:rRNA from 1 species
UGCCUUGGCACCAGGAGCCGAAGAAGGACGUAGGAGUCUGCGAUAAGCCUCGAGGAGCUGACAACCGAGCUGUGAUUCGAGGAUUUCCGAAUGGGGAAACCCGGCUGGGGGCAAGCCCAGUCACCCAUACCUGAACACAUAGGGUAUGCGGAGGGAACGCGGGGAAGUGAAACAUCUCAGUACCCGCAGGAGGAGAAAGCAACCGCGAUUCCGUUAGUAGUGGCGAGCGAAAGCGGAAGAGGCUAAACCGAGCGCGUGUGAUAGCCGGCAGGCGUUGCGCGUUCGGGGUCGUGGGGACCAUCUCAUCAGGACUGCCGUCUUGAUAAGGAGUCAAAAAUUCGCGUCAUAGUCGAAGGACCUGGAAAGGUCUGGCACAGUGGGUGACACCCCCGUAGACGAAAU